rnacentral:lncRNA from 1 species
CGUCUCAUACUCAAGUGGUCUCUCCUCUUCCCAUACACACCUUACGGAUUCUUCACAGGGUGUGAUGAUGGGAAGCCUAGACACGCUUAUCAGAAGUUUGUCCUCUUAUCGGGAUACGUCAGAAAUUAGAGAGACCCUGGCAAUCACAGCUUCCACCUCCUCAUUUUACAAAUGAGCAACUAGGCUCAGAGUACAGAAGUGGCUUUCCCAGGGUCACACAGCCAGCUUGUGACAGAGUCAGGAUUCAAGUACCAUCUCCUGACUUCUCCAUUGCACCAGACGUCGAUAGAACACAGAGAACCUAAAAGAAGAAAGAAAAAAAAAUAGAGCUUUUGGGAAUAUAUUGGGCUUCUGGUUUUCAAGGACAAUUUUAUGAUAAGUAGCAAUGAUGCCUCAAAAGCUCUGGUAGCUAGCUUGAAUGAACUUAUGUAAUAAACAUUUAUCACAGAA